rnacentral:lncRNA from 13 species
AUGCCACCUAAAUUGCCACAUCCCAAGGAUGCUAUUUGGUUUUCAUUGUGCUAUUUUUACAUUUUGUUUUUGGUUAUUUUUUUUAAACUUUUUUUCACUUUUAUAUAUUUUUUAUUAUACUUUCAGUUCUGGGGUACACGUGCAGAUUGUGUAGGAUUGUUACACAGGUAUCCCAUGCCAUGGUGGUUUGCUGCAUCCAUCUCCCCGUCAUCUACAUCGGAUCUGUGGCAGGGGACUUUUUCAGUCUGAACAUUAUACUCCUCAUUAAAGUGAUGAGAGGGCCUUGAUUGCUUGGGUAAAGUAAUCAAGUGAAAUAAAGGGGAAACUUAUCUUACA